AUACGGAGGAUGCAAGCGUUAUCCGGAUUUAUUGGGUUUAAAGGGUGCGUAGGCGGGACUGUAAGUCAGGGGUGAAAUACUGCAGCUUAACUGUAGCAUUGCCUUUGAAACUGCCGUUCUUGAGUACAGUUGAGGUAGGCGGAAUGUGGUGUGUAGCGGUGAAAUGCAUAGAUAUACCACAGAACGCCGAUUGCGAAGGCAGCUUACUAAGCUGUUACUGACGCUGAGGCACGAAAGCGUGGGGAUCAAACAGGAUUAGAUACCCUGGUAGUCCACGCUGUAAACGAUGAUUACUGGUUGUUAGCGAUAUAUAGCUAGUGACUGAGCGAAAGCAUUAAGUAAUCCACCUGGGGAGUACGUCGGCAACGAUGAGACUCAAAGGAAUUGACGGGG
rnacentral:rRNA from 1 species